UCGAGAAUUUUUCACAAUGGGCGCAAGCCUGAUGGAGCGACGCCGCGUGGGGGAUGAAUGGCUUCGGCCCGUAAACCCCUGUCAUUUGCGACCAACCGUUAUUAUUUAAAAGAUGAUAACCUGAUAGUAGCGAAAGAGGAAGGGACGGCUAACUCUGUGCCAGCAGCCGCGGUAAUACAGAGGUCCCAAGCGUUGUUCGGAUUUACUGGGCGUAAAGGGUGCGUAGGUGGCGGUGUAAGUCGGAUGUGAAAUCUCCGAGCUCAACUCGGAAACUGCAUUGGAAACUACAUUGCUCGAGGGUUGGAGGGGGGGCUGGAAUACUUGGUGUAGCAGUGAAAUGCGUAGAUAUCAAGUGGAACACCAGUGGCGAAGGCGAGUCCCUGGACAACUCCUGACACUGAGGCACGAAAGCUAGGGGAGCAAACAG
rnacentral:rRNA from 1 species